UACGUAGGGAGCAAGCGUUGUCCGGAAUCAUUGGGCGUAAAGCGCGCGUAGGUGGCUCUAUAAGUCCGUUGUGAAAGUCAAAGGCUCAACCUUUGAAAGCCGAUGGAUGACUGUAGAGCUUAGAGUCCGGAAGAGGCGAGUGGAAUUCCUGGUGUAGCGGUGGAAUGCGCGAUAGUCAGGAGGAACACCAAUAGCGAAGGCAGCUCGCUGGGACGGUACUGACGCGUGAGACGCGAAGCGUGGGAGCGAACAGG
rnacentral:rRNA from 1 species